rnacentral:rRNA from 1 species
GGGGAAUCUUGCGCAAUGGGCGAAAGCCUGACGCAGCAACGCCGCGUGCGGGAUGAAGGCCUUCGGGUUGUAAACCGCUUUCAGCAGGGACGAAAUUGACGGUACCUGCAGAAGAAGCCCCGGCCAACUACGUGCCAGCAGCCGCGGUAAUACGUAGGGGGCGAGCGUUGUCCGGAUUUAUUGGGCGUAAAGAGCUCGUAGGCGGUUGGGUAAGUCGGGUGUGAAAACUCAGGGCUCAACUCUGAGACGCCACUCGAUACUGCUCUGACUCGAGUCCGGUAGGGGAGCGUGGAAUUCCCGGUGUAGCGGUGAAAUGCGCAGAUAUCGGGAGGAACACCAGUGGCGAAGGCGGCGCUCUGGGCCGGAACUGACGCUGAGGAGCGAAAGCGUGGGUAGCAAAC